CACAGUAGCCGCGGGAAUACGGAGGAUCCAAGCGUUAUCCGGAAUCAUUGGGUUUAAAGGGUCCGUAGGCGGUCUUGUAAGUCAGUGGUGAAAGCCCAUCGCUCAACGGUGGAACGGCCAUUGAUACUGCAGGACUUGAAUUAUUGGGAAGUAACUAGAAUAUGUAGUGUAGCGGUGAAAUGCUUAGAGAUUACAUGGAAUACCAAUUGCGAAGGCAGGUUACUACCAAUUGAUUGACGCUGAUGGACGAAAGCGUGGGUAGCGAACAGGAUUAGAUACCCGCGUAGUCCCUGUCUCUUAUACA
rnacentral:rRNA from 1 species